rnacentral:rRNA from 1 species
UACAGAGGUCCCGAGCGUUGUUCGGAUUCAUUGGGCGUAAAGGGUGCGUAGGUGGCAGGGUAAGUCGGAUGUGAAAGCUCGGAGCUCAACUCCGAAAUGGCAUUGGAAACUACCCAGCUCGAGGGUUGGAGGGGGGACUGGAAUGCUUGGUGUAGCAGUGAAAUGCGUAGAUAUCAAGCGGAACACCAGUGGCGAAGGCGAGUCCCUGGACAACUCCUGACACUGAGGCACGAAAGCUAGGGGAGCAAACAGG